UGAACUGGUGAACCACAAACCCUUGGGAGA
rnacentral:piRNA from 1 species